CUGUCAGAAAUAUGCAUCAGAAGACCUAGCUUUAGUUAAAAUCCUUGCCUUCUAAUUCUGAUUGUAUUUUACAAAAAUCUCUUUCUUCCCAGCUGUUACUUAUGAGGCCAUGAUGCUCUAGAGUGUGAAUUACACACAUCAGUCAGCCCCUGAGCGAGCAUGCUGCAGAUAAUGAAAGCAAACAGGGAAGAAUGUGGGACAGGGCUGCUUUCAUUCACAGGCAUUACACUUUGAAGCAUGAAGCAGGUGAGAUGAGAUUGUAAUUCUGGGCCGUGUUAGUGUCCACAGAAGAGGAAUGUCAAGGCUUCUCCUGUGUCUUUUUUUCUCCUUUUAUGUACAAAAUUAAGAGCACUCUUCUGCUGCCUAUGUUUAUUUAGUAACCACUGCUUUUUCAAGAUUUUUUCAGAAUCUGGAAUCACUUUUAUACUGUCAUCCACAGUCUAUUGAAUUAACAAUUGACAUCCUAAGGAACAGCUACAUGAGAUCACUUGUGGGAAAGGACCAUGUGAACCAGUUAACCCAAGGCAAAUAGAGCUGUCCUGAUUUUUGACAAGCAGUAAAGCCAUCAUGUGACUUGAAUACAGCUUGGAGCUGUCCCAAAACAUCCUUGGAAUGUCAGAAGAAUGGAUGUCCAGAGUUAAAGACAGGUAAGCAAAAGUCAGUCCUCAAUAAAACAAAA